GACGAACGCUGGCGGCGUGCUUAACACAUGCAAGUCGAACGGAAAGGCCCUGCUUUUGUGGGGUGCUCGAGUGGCGAACGGGUGAGUAACACGUGAGUAACCUGCCCUUGACUUUGGGAUAUCUUCAGGAAACUGGGGCUAAUACCGGAUAGGAGCUCCUGCUGCAUGGUGGGGGUUGGAAAGUUUCGGCGGUUGUGGAUCGACUCGCGGCUUACCAGCUUGUUGGUGGGGUAGUGGCUUACCAAGGCUUUGGCGGGUAGCCGGCCUGGGAGGGUGGACGGCGACAAUGGGACUGAGAGAGGGAGCAGACGGCAACGGUAGGCAGCAGGGGAGAAUAUGACACAGUGGGCGGAAGCGUGAUGCGACGGCGCUGGGUGCGGGAAGACGGCUUUCGGGUUGUAAACCGCUGUCGCCUGUGACGAAGCGUGAGUGACGGUAAUGGGUAAAGAAGCACCGGCUAACUACGUG
rnacentral:rRNA from 1 species